AUGUGCAAGUCCAUCCUCCCGCGCCGGAUUAGCGCGGCAUCGAGCUUGUCCAGGUGGUUGGUGGUGAACACGAUGAUCCACUCGCCACUGUGUGCCGACCAGAUCCCGUCGAUGAAGUUGAGCAGUCCGGACAGCGUCACUACGCUGCCCUUCUUGGGCGCCCCGUCCGCUCGCUUUGUCUGGGCCAUGGCGGCGCGGCUGCCGGUUAGGUUGAGGGAGCAGUCGAUGUCCUCGAUGACAAUGAUCGACUUGCCCGUCGUCUCGACGAAGAGCUUCCGUAGGUCAUUGUUGGAUUUUAGCGUCGUCAGCUCGAUGUCGUAG
rnacentral:rRNA from 1 species